CAGUAGCCGCGGGAAUACGUAGGUGGCAAGCGUCGUCCGGAAUUAUUGGGCGUAAAGGGCUCGCAGGCGGUUUCUUAAGUCUGAUGUGAAAGCCCCCGGCUCAACCGGGGAGGGUCAUUGGAAACUGGGAAACUUGAGUGCAGAAGAGGAGAGUGGAAAUCCACGUGUAGCGGUGAAAUGCGUAGAGAUGUGGAGGAACACCAGUGGCGAAGGCGACUCUCUGGUCUGUAACUGACGCUGAGGAGCGAAAGCGUGGGGAGCGAACAGGAUUAGAUACCCCCGUAGUCCCUGUCUCUUAUAC
rnacentral:rRNA from 1 species